rnacentral:rRNA from 1 species
UACGGAGGGUGCAAGCGUUAUCCGGAUUCACUGGGUUUAAAGGGUGCGUAGGCGGGUAAGUAAGUCAGUGGUGAAAUCUCCGGGCUUAACUCGGAAACUGCCGUUGAUACUAUUUAUCUUGAAUAUCAUGGAGGUAAGCGGAAUAUGUCAUGUAGCGGUGAAAUGCUUAGAUAUGACAUAGAACACCAAUUGCGAAGGCAGCUCGCUACACGAAAUAUUGACUCUGAGGCACGAAAGCGUGGGGAUCAAACAGG